rfam:Variovorax sp. WDL1 contig_43, whole genome shotgun sequence.
UCCCCGCUUUUCCUCCCUGAGCGGGUGCCUUGAUGUGUGACAGCAAAAGGGCUUCCCAGCCCGGCGUUUUGGCGCCGGGCUUUUUUUU